rnacentral:rRNA from 1 species
UAGGGAAUCUUCCACAAUGGGCGAAGCCUGAUGGAGCAACGCCGCGUGUGUGAUGAAGGCUUUAGGGUCGUAAAGCACUGUUGUAUGGGAAGAAAUGCUAGAAUAGGGAAUGAUUCUAGUUCGACGGUACCAUACCAGAAAGGGACGGCUAAAUACGUGCCAG